rnacentral:rRNA from 1 species
UACGUAGGUGGCAAGCGUUAUCCGGAAUUACUGGGCGUAAAGCGCACGCAGGUGGUUGGAUAAGAUUGACGUGAAAGCUUCUGGCUUAACUGGAAGAGGUCGUUGAUGACUGUCCGACUUGAGACGAGGAGAGGGGUGCAGAAUUCCCGGUGUAGUGGUGGAAUGCGUAGAUAUCGGGAGGAAUACCAGUGGCGAAAGCGGCACCCUGGCCUUAGUCUGACGCUCAGGUGCGAAAGCGUGGGGAGCAAACGGG